GCUUGACUGUAGCUUGUAAUUGGGUUCGGGCUUUUUUUGCGCAGCCUAGGUGGGAGGCAACGAUGAUUUUUUUCCGGAAAAAUUUGAGCCGUUAGUGAGAGACCACUCUGAAAAGGCUAGAAUCCUAAUAAUGAUCCUUGAAUCAGGACAUUUGACAGUUGCAGGUGGGCAGUUUUACUGGGGCGGUAUUCUCCUAAAAAGUAACGGAGGGGUGCAAAGGUUCCCUCAAGCUGGACGGAAAUCAGCUUAAGAGUGUAAAGGCAAAAGGGAGCUUGACUGCAAGACCUACAAGUCGAGCAGGGCGAAAGCCGGCCUUAGUGAUCCGACGGUACCACGUGGAAGGGCCGUCGCUCACGGAUAAAAGUUA
rnacentral:rRNA from 1 species